GGGGAAUUUUCCGCAAUGGGCGAAAGCCUGACGGAGCAAUACCGCGUGAGGGAAGACGGCCUAUGGGUUGUAAACCUCUUUUUUCAGGGAGGAAUCAAUGACGUGUACCUGAAGAAUAAGCAUCGGCUAACUCCGUGCCAGCAGCCGCGGUAAGACGGAGGAUGCAAGUGUUAUCCGGAAUCACUGGGCGUAAAGCGUCUGUAGGUGGUUAAAUAAGUCAACUGUUAAAUCUUGAGGCUCAACUUCAAAAUCGCAGUCGAAACUGUUUGACUAGAGUAUAGUAGGGGUAAAGGGAAUUUCCAGUGGAGCGGUGAAAUGCGUAGAUAUUGGAAAGAACACCGAUGGCGAAGGCACUUUACUGGGCUAUUACUGACACUCAGAGACGAAAGCUAGGGUAGCAAAUGGGAUUAGAUACCCCUGUAGUC
rnacentral:rRNA from 1 species